rnacentral:piRNA from 1 species
UGAGACAUCUGUCAGCUGGGCUUC